CAGAAGGGCUUGCAGGGUGGGUGGGUAGCGCAUCUGCAAAUGCACGUGGACUUUGUCCUUUGGAGCGUGAUCUGGUCUCAGGGACUGAAAGAGCCUGGGGUGCCAGGAACGUGGCAUGCUUGGACCUAAUGCCAGUCUCUGUCCCCUGCACCCUGCCUGCUCCUGGCUCAGGUGGGACCAUGUGGCUCUAAGGAGAAGAGCCUCGGAUUCCCGCGAGUGCGUGGAAGCGGGAGCAGGUGGCGGUCCCUUCACUUGGCCGCCGGGUGCAGGAGCAGAUGGAGCCCGUGUCAGGGGUGCUCAGGGGACCCCGGGUGGGAGCGUGCGGGGUCCUCCGCAGCCUGUCGCAGGACGCACUGGUACCCGGGAAGCUGCGUCCGCGCUCUUGGGUCGCAGGUGCACACGGGUGUGAGUAGGGCUGGGGUUUCACGUGCCCAUUUGCACACACAGGCCCGUGAAUGAGCUCCUGAGCACCCGAGGGGGCUGGUGUGGGGUUUGUGAGAAGGAUCGCGGGGCUGAUUGACCCCAAGCCCCAGAGGUCCAAAUCGCCAUUUGGGGUCUUCUUUUCUGUGCGACCAGGGACACUUCCUUCAUUUCCUUGGGCUUCGGUUUCCUCAUCUGUGAUCCGGGCCAGCGAUGACGCCCGCCCCCUAGAGUUGUUUGGGGGAAUGAAUAAGAUACUGCCAUCUGGCAUACAGUAGGCGCUCAAUGUGUGCUCACUGUUGCUGUUUUCAUUCGUGUGUUGAACUCACCUGUAUCUGCACAUAUGUGUCCCCCAGGAGGACUGUCUUAGAGCGGUUGGGACGUUUCAUGGGGGCCAAGGGGAGCGUGGAUGGCAGGGGGUCGGCAGUCCCCGUCUGAGGUGGCUGGAGGUGGCUGGGCUGUGGACGGUCCUCGUGGAACAGUCUCUGCUCUGAGGAUCAGGCCCUUCCCGCUGUCCUCCUUCUGCGGAGGCAGAGAGACCUGGUCUUUCCUUGGUCACCUACCCGCCCUGCAACUGGACGGGCCAGCCUCUGCCAGGCCAGCUCACGGGGCUUUGAAGAGACAGAAUGAGAAGAGGGUGAAGAGCUGCCACCCAGGUAGAGGGUGGUCCCCGCUGUGCCCGUGUGAGUCCAGCUGGGGGUGAGGCUGGUUGCCCGCCGGAUUCUCCCACAAGGGCCUAUAAACCAGGCAGAGCAUCUGCAUGCAGUUGGCGCUCAAUGUGUGCUCACUGUCCAGAAAGGAGAUGCGGUUCCCGGAGAGCCCUGGAGCACAGCUGGGGCUGGGCACUGGAACAGCCUGUCCUCCGUGGCCAGCCUGGCUCAGGGCUGGCAGGAGCCAGUGUGUGUCCUGGGGUGACGGGCAGCGGCAGAGCCGGGCUGGCCAGAGGAGGGCGGGGAGAGCCAGCGAGCACCCAGCAGGUGCAGGGCCUGCGCAGGGGCCGGGAUCCAGAAGGAAGCCCGUGCCCUCCCACAGGGCCCAGGCGAGUGCAGGGGGCAGCCAGCCAGGAGACUGGGGG
rnacentral:lncRNA from 1 species